rnacentral:rRNA from 1 species
UACGAAGGGGGCUAGCGUUGCUCGGAAUCACUGGGCGUAAAGGGUGCGUAGGCGGGUCUUUAAGUCAGGGGUGAAAUCCUGGAGCUCAACUCCAGAACUGCCUUUGAUACUGAAGAUCUUGAGUUCGGGAGAGGUGAGUGGAACUGCGAGUGUAGAGGUGAAAUUCGUAGAUAUUCGCAAGAACACCAGUGGCGAAGGCGGCUUCCUGGCCUGUUCUUGACGCUGAGGCGCGAAAGCUAGGGGAGCAAACGGG